CCCCAGGCGGGCUUUGAAACCUCAAUUUCUACACUCUCCUGAACCUCUCAGCUUCGGCAAACAAAAUAAUCUGCUUCUGUGAUUUCUCUUCAGGAGGAAAAGGGAGAGAGAGAGGACAUGAAGAGAAAGCUGAGUAAGCUGACAAGAUCAAUGAAAGAGCCAGGAAAUAGCAUGAUCACCAGACACAGAGCAGAGCCGUACAUCAUGUGAAGCCUGUCUCCAAAGCAGCCCAACAGCGGGGUUCUUGGACAUUAAUACUCCAUUUGUUUCCAAGA
rnacentral:lncRNA from 12 species